GACUGAGUAUCCAAGCGGUCGAAGGGGAGAGUCUGCAAAACUCUUAAGCGUGAGUUCAAAUCUCACCUCAGUCU
rnacentral:tRNA from 1 species